rnacentral:rRNA from 1 species
GGUUAAGCGACUAAGCGUACACGGUGGAUGCCCUGGCAGUCAGAGGCGAUGAAGGACGUGCUAAUCUGCGAUAAGCGUCGGUAAGGUGAUAUGAACCGUUAUAACCGGCGAUUUCCGAAUGGGGAAACCCAGUGUGUUUCGACACACUAUCAUUAACUGAAUCCAUAGGUUAAUGAGGCGAACCGGGGGAACUGAAACAUCUAAGUACCCCGAGGAAAAGAAAUCAACCGAGAUUCCCCCAGUAGCGGCGAGCGAACGGGGAGCAGCCCAGAGCCUGAAUCAGUGUGUGUGUUAGUGGAAGCGUCUGGAAAGGCGCGCGAUACAGGGUGACAGCCCCGUACACAAAAAUGCACAUGCUGUGAGCUCGAUGAGUAGGGCGGGACACGUGGUAUCCUGUCUGAAUAUGGGGGGACCAUCCUCCAAGGCUAAAUACUCCUGACUGACCGAUAGUGAACCAGUACCGUGAGGGAAAGGCGAAAAGAACCCCGGCGAGGGGAGUGAAAAAGAACCUGAAACCGUGUACGUACAAGCAGUGGGAGCACGCUUAGGCGUGUGACUGCGUACCUUUUGUAUAAUGGGUCAGCGACUUAUAUUCUGUAGCAAGGUUAACCGAAUAGGGGAGCCGAAGGGAAACCGAGUCUUAACUGGGCGUUAAGUUGCAGGGUAUAGACCCGAAACCCGGUGAUCUAGCCAUGGGCAGGUUGAAGGUUGGGUAACACUAACUGGAGGACCGAACCGACUAAUGUUGAAAAAUUAGCGGAUGACUUGUGGCUGGGGGUGAAAGGCCAAUCAAACCGGGAGAUAGCUGGUUCUCCCCGAAAGCUAUUUAGGUAGCGCCUCGUGAAUUCAUCUCCGGGGGUAGAGCACUGUUUCGGCAAGGGGGUCAUCCCGACUUACCAACCCGAUGCAAACUGCGAAUACCGGAGAAUGUUAUCACGGGAGACACACGGCGGGUGCUAACGUCCGUCGUGAAGAGGGAAACAACCCAGACCGCCAGCUAAGGUCCCAAAGUCAUGGUUAAGUGGGAAACGAUGUGGGAAGGCCCAGACAGCCAGGAUGUUGGCUUAGAAGCAGCCAUCAUUUAAAGAAAGCGUAAUAGCUCACUGGUCGAGUCGGCCUGCGCGGAAGAUGUAACGGGGCUAAACCAUGCACCGAAGCUGCGGCAGCGACACUAUGUGUUGUUGGGUAGGGGAGCGUUCUGUAAGCCUGUGAAGGUGUGCUGUGAGGCAUGCUGGAGGUAUCAGAAGUGCGAAUGCUGACAUAAGUAACGAUAAAGCGGGUGAAAAGCCCGCUCGCCGGAAGACCAAGGGUUCCUGUCCAACGUUAAUCGGGGCAGGGUGAGUCGACCCCUAAGGCGAGGCCGAAAGGCGUAGUCGAUGGGAAACAGGUUAAUAUUCCUGUACUUGGUGUUACUGCGAAGGGGGGACGGAGAAGGCUAUGUUGGCCGGGCGACGGUUGUCCCGGUUUAAGCGUGUAGGCUGGUUUUCCAGGCAAAUCCGGAAAAUCAAGGCUGAGGCGUGAUGACGAGGCACUACGGUGCUGAAGCAACAAAUGCCCUGCUUCCAGGAAAAGCCUCUAAGCAUCAGGUAACAUCAAAUCGUACCCCAAACCGACACAGGUGGUCAGGUAGAGAAUACCAAGGCGCUUGAGAGAACUCGGGUGAAGGAACUAGGCAAAAUGGUGCCGUAACUUCGGGAGAAGGCACGCUGAUAUGUAGGUGAGGUCCCUCGCGGAUGGAGCUGAAAUCAGUCGAAGAUACCAGCUGGCUGCAACUGUUUAUUAAAAACACAGCACUGUGCAAACACGAAAGUGGACGUAUACGGUGUGACGCCUGCCCGGUGCCGGAAGGUUAAUUGAUGGGGUCAGCGCAAGCGAAGCUCUUGAUCGAAGCCCCGGUAAACGGCGGCCGUAACUAUAACGGUCCUAAGGUAGCGAAAUUCCUUGUCGGGUAAGUUCCGACCUGCACGAAUGGCGUAAUGAUGGCCAGGCUGUCUCCACCCGAGACUCAGUGAAAUUGAACUCGCUGUGAAGAUGCAGUGUACCCGCGGCAAGACGGAAAGACCCCGUGAACCUUUACUAUAGCUUGACACUGAACAUUGAGCCUUGAUGUGUAGGAUAGGUGGGAGGCUUAGAAGUGUGGACGCCAGUCUGCAUGGAGCCGACCUUGAAAUACCACCCUUUAAUGUUUGAUGUUCUAACGUUGACCCGUAAUCCGGGUUGCGGACAGUGUCUGGUGGGUAGUUUGACUGGGGCGGUCUCCUCCUAAAGAGUAACGGAGGAGCACGAAGGUUGGCUAAUCCUGGUCGGACAUCAGGAGGUUAGUGCAAUGGCAUAAGCCAGCUUGACUGCGAGCGUGACGGCGCGAGCAGGUGCGAAAGCAGGUCAUAGUGAUCCGGUGGUUCUGAAUGGAAGGGCCAUCGCUCAACGGAUAAAAGGUACUCCGGGGAUAACAGGCUGAUACCGCCCAAGAGUUCAUAUCGACGGCGGUGUUUGGCACCUCGAUGUCGGCUCAUCACAUCCUGGGGCUGAAGUAGGUCCCAAGGGUAUGGCUGUUCGCCAUUUAAAGUGGUACGCGAGCUGGGUUUAGAACGUCGUGAGACAGUUCGGUCCCUAUCUGCCGUGGGCGCUGGAGAACUGAGGGGGGCUGCUCCUAGUACGAGAGGACCGGAGUGGACGCAUCACUGGUGUUCGGGUUGUCAUGCCAAUGGCACUGCCCGGUAGCUAAAUGCGGAAGAGAUAAGUGCUGAAAGCAUCUAAGCACGAAACUUGCCCCGAGAUGAGUUCUCCCUGACUCCUUGAGAGUCCUGAAGGAACGUUGAAGACGACGACGUUGAUAGGCCGGGUGUGUAAGCGCAGCGAUGCGUUGAGCUAACCGGUACUAAUGAACCGUGAGGCUUAACCUU